UCGCGGCCUCCUACCUCUCUUUCUCCAGGCACCUCACACUUAAAUCACGGGUGGAAGGCAGGCUCGGUUCCCCUUGCGCCUGGAAGCUGCUGCCCCCUCCCUUGCUCACACCGGGUUUUGCAGCAGUGGCGGCAGCUGCCACUGAUUCCGGCACUGGGGAAGCAAUUGAUACCUCUACUGCCAGCAGCGCGGAGUCGUCUACGCGGACGACAGAGAGAAAGAGAGAGGAGAGAGAGAGAGAGAGAGAGAGAGAGAGAGAGAUUGAUUCACAGAGCAAAAACCUUCAUCCAUGUGGAGGGCAGUCUGAGGGAGCCACUCUGUGCCUUGUCCACUGAGUGGUCUGAGUUUUCUCCUCUUCUGGCAGUGGCAUCUCUACUGAGCUUUCAAACCAAGUCAUCCGGAGUUAGCAUUUUCCCACCCGGCAGGGAAGAGAGGAGUUGGCAAGAAUUUGGCUCACCCAUUCCCCCUGCAAUCCUCUGGUGUCGCGAGAGUUUGUGACUUUCUAACAAAAACCACCAUGACAUAUGGACCUGUCUUCUGUUCUUUAUCGCCUUCAAGAGGGGAG